rnacentral:lncRNA from 1 species
UUUGCAGAACGAUGAAAGCCCUAAAUCAAAAUUUCGCUUCCAACAGUCACUAGAAGUUUACUUUCUCUCCGAAAUGCAACAAAUAUCAUUAAAAUUGGUCCAGUGGUUAUCUCA